CAAUAUGUUUUGCCAAUCUAGUAAUAUAUUGAUGAUCAGGUGGCCAUUUGCUGCGCUUUCUGGUUUGCUGGAUCCAGGACAGAGUGGGUAACCUUUUCCAAUUGGUUUCGUAGUGAAACUCCUGUUGAGCUGAGACGUGCAACACCUUAUCUUCAGAGGUUGAGAAAUUAACAAAAUCAAAUGUUGCUGCAGCUGAUUCCUUUUCAAUUAGUUGGUUCUUGUUCCUGAGAUUACACAGCUUUCCUCCAGGCUCAAAUACAACAUGCUUCAUG
rnacentral:lncRNA from 1 species